GACGAACGCUGGCGGCGUGCCUAAUACAUGCAAGUAGAACGCACAGUUUAUACCGUAGCUUGCUACACCAUAAACUGUGAGGUGCGAACGGGUGAGUAACGCGUAGGUAACCUGCCUGGUAGCGGGGGAUAACUAUUGGAAACGAUAGCUAAUACCGCAUAAUAUUAAUUAUUGCAUGAUAAUUGAUUGAAAGAUGCAAUUGCAUCACUACCAGAUGGACCUGCGUUGUAUUAGCUAGUAGGUGAGGUAACGGCGUACCUAGGCGACGAUACAUAGCCGACCUGGGAGGGUGGUCGGCCACCCUGGGACUGGGACCCGGCCCAGACUCCUUCGGGAGGCAGCAGUAGGGAAUCUUCGGCAAUGGACGGAAGUCUGACCGAGCAACGCCGCGUGAGUGAAGAAGGUUUUCGGAUCGUAAAGCUCUGUUGUAAGGGGAGAACGGGUGUGAGAGUGGAAAGUUCACACUGUGACGGUAUCUUACCAGAAAGGGACGGCUAACUACGUG
rnacentral:rRNA from 1 species